AUGCUGGAGGCGGCGAUCCCUGCGCUGUGGAGCACCGUCCACGGCUGGUUCACCCCGUGGGUGCUCUUCCUCGUGCUCAACAUCGUCAUCGGCACCAUCGCCGUCACCUCCAAGGCCUCGCCCCCGGCGGGGGGCGGGGAAGGGGCCGCGGCCGCGGCCGGCGGCGAGAGGAGGAGCCUGUCCCGCGUGCCCUCAAUGGCGAUGGACCGGCUGCGGUCGUUCAACAUGUCCCGCUUCACCGUCCCCGCCCCGGAGGCCCCGGUGACCGGAGUGCUGGAUCUGGGGUCUGACGAGCAGCUGCCGCCGCUCGAGAUGGAGCCGGAGGCUCAGGGCGAGCUCGAGCCCGAGCACACGCACAUGGAGAGGAGCAUGUCGGAGGCGGCGGCCGAGGCCGAGCUGCCGCGGCUCCCGGCGCGGCUGCGCAAGUCGGCCAGCGACAAGUCGGCGUUCGCGCACUUCGUGGCCGAGGAGGACACCGAGGUGGUGGAGGCGCGCAGGCCCGCGACGACGAGGGACGGGGAGCGCCGCCGCCGCCCCGUCGCGGCGGAGCCGGAGGAGCCGGUGUCGGAGGAGGAGAUCGAGGAGGCCGGCGGCGAGGUGGACGCGCGCGCGGACGACUUCAUCAACAACUUCCGCCACCAGCUGAAGCUGCAGCGCAUCGACUCCUUCAUGCGCUACCGGGAUACGCUCCGCCGUGGGCAGGCGACGGCCGUGGCGAGCGCCGAGCAGUAG
rnacentral:rRNA from 1 species